AAUAGAUACCCGGGUAGUCCACGCCGUAAACGAUGAGUGCUAAGUGUUAGGGGGUUUCCGCCCCUUAGUGCUGCAGCUAACGCAUUAAGCACUCCGCCUGGGGAGUACGGUCGCAAGACUGAAACUCAAAGGAAUUGACGGGGGCCCGCACAAGCGGUGGAGCAUGUGGUUUAAUUCGAAGCAACGCGAAGAACCUUACCAGGUCUUGACAUCCCGCUGACCGCUAUGGAGACAUAGCUUUCCCUUCGGGGACAGUGGUGACAGGUGGUGCAUGGUUGUCGUCAGCUCGUGUCGUGAGAUGUUGGGUUAAGUCCCGCAACGAGCGCAACCCUUGUCCUUAGUUGCCAUCAUUCAGUUGGGCACUCUAAGGAGACUGCCGUACAAAUACGGAGGAAGGUGGGGAUGACGUCAAAUCAUCAUGCCCCUUAUGACCUGGGCUACACACGUGCUACAAUGGACGGUACAAACGGUUGCGAAGUCGCGAGACGGAGCCAAUCCGAGAAAGCCGUUCUCAGUUCGGAUUGCAGGCUGCUAACC
rnacentral:rRNA from 1 species